AACGUAGGAGGCGAGCGUUAUCCGGAUUUAUUGGGCGUAAAGCGCGUGCAGGUGGUUCUGUAAGUCGGAUGUGAAAGCCUUUGGCUUAACCGGAGGAUGUCGUUCGAUACUGCGGAACUUGAGGUCGGGAGAGGGAAGCGGAAUUCCCGGUGUAGUGGUGGAAUGCGUAGAUAUCGGGAGGAACACCAGUGGCGAAGGCGGCUUCCUGGCCCGCACCUGACACUAAGACGCGAAAGCGUGGGGAGCGAACGGG
rnacentral:rRNA from 1 species